AUCUGGGGCUCGUAGGCAGUGGUGGCAUAGGGUGCUCAUGUGAUGAGCACGAGGUCACGUGUGGCCAGGGCGGAUAUUUUUUAGGCUGUCCAUACUGCUCCGGUGCCAUCUUAGGGGCGCGACCGGCGCCAUCUUGGGGGCGUGACCCCGACAAUUCUAAAUGUCUGAAUCA